rnacentral:rRNA from 1 species
UACGUAGGGGUGCAAGCGUUGUCCGGAAUUAUUGGGCGUAAAGGAGCUCGUAGGCGGUUUGUUGCGUCGGCUGUGAAAUCCCGAGGCUCAACCUCGGGUCUGCAGUCGAUACGAGCAAACUAGAGUGUUGCAGGGGAGACUGGAAUUCCUGGUGUAGCGGUGAAAUGCGCAGAUAUCAGGAGGAACACCGGUGGCGAAGGCGGGUCUCUGGGCAACAACUGACGCUGAGGAGCGAAAGCGUGGGGAGCGAACAGG